UCCGCGGUAGCUCAGUUGGUAGAGCAUUCGACUGUUAAUCGAAUGGUCCUUGGUUCGAGUCCAAGCCGCGGAGCCA
rnacentral:tRNA from 10 species